AUAGAUAAUGAUCGCAAUAAUUGCAGUAAAGGAACAAAUGAACAGAGAUUGUGAAUCUAGACAAAGAACCCUCGAUGUUAGCAUUCGAUAGAUCAUCGCCAUCUCAUUCUCCGAAGCAAUGAAGAACCAAAGUGACAAGGACCUUACAGGUCUAUCCAUCUGGAAACAUGAAGGAAGCAAAAAAGAUAAAUAGAUUUCACAAACAUCUGAAAUAACCACCAACAGAAUCAAGGAAUCAAAAAACUGUGAAAAGACCCCCCCAGAUGAGCAACAUAACACAAGCAUAAAGAAAUUCAUUGCAAAACCCCCUUUUAAAAUAAUGAGACAUUGUUGCCUACUUUCCAAGUGCAAAUCUUCCCAAUUCCAUAUUCCUAGACAAGUCUGCAUCAUAGACAGAGAGGACCUAAAUACAUAAUGAUCACAAUAAUGGCAAUAAAGGAAAUAAGUCGAAGUUGUGAAUUUAGACAAAGAACCAUCCAUAUUAGCGUUGACAGAUCAUCACCGUCUCAUUCUCUAAGGCAAUCAAGAACUAAAAUGACAAGCAUCUUGCAGGUAUAUCUA